GAUGAACGCUAGCGACAGGCCUAACACAUGCAAGUCGAGGGGCAGCACAAGGAGCAAUCUGAGGUGGCGACCGGCGCACGGGUGAGUAACACGUAUGCAACCUGCCUGUAAGCGGGGGAUAACCCGUUGAAAGACGGACUAAUACCCUAUAACACAGGGGUCCCGCAUGGGAAUAUUUGUUAAAGGACAACCGGUUGAAGAUGGGCAUGCGUUCCAUUAGCUAGUUGGCGGGGUAACGGCCCACCAAGGCAACGAUGGAUAGGGGAACUGAGAGGUUUAUCCCCCACACUGGUACUGAGACACGGACCAGACUCCUACGGGAGGCAGCAGUGAGGAAUAUUGGUCAAUGGACGCAAGUCUGAACCAGCCACGUCGCGUGAAGGAAGACGGCCCUACGGGUUGUAAACUUCUUUUAUACGGGAAUAAAGUGCCCACGUGUGGGUUUUGCAUGUACCGUAUGAAUAAGGAUCGGCUAACUCCGUG
rnacentral:rRNA from 1 species